GAUGAACGCUGGCGGCGUGCCUAAUACAUGCAAGUCGAGCGAACGGACGAGAAGCUUGCUUCUCUGAUGUUAGCGGCGGACGGGUGAGCAACACGUGGAUAACCUACCUAUAAGACUGGGAUAACUUCGGGAAACCGGAGCUAAUACCGGAUAAUAUUUUGAACCGCAUGGUUCAAAAGUGAAAGACGGUCUUGCUGUCACUUAUAGAUGGAUCCGCGCUGCAUUAGCUAGUUGGUAAGGUAACGGCUUACCAAGGCAACGAUGCAUAGCCGACCUGAGAGGGUGAUCGGCCACACUGGAACUGAGACACGGUCCAGACUCCUACGGGAGGCAGCAGUAGGGAAUCUUCCGCAAUGGGCGAAAGCCUGACGGAGCAACGCCGCGUGAGUGAUGAAGGUCUUCGGAUCGUAAAACUCUGUUAUUAGGGAAGAACAAAUGUGUAAGUAACUGUGCACAUCUUGACGGUACCUAAUCAGAAAGCCACGGCUAACUACGUG
rnacentral:rRNA from 1 species